GUUACAUGUUACAUCAGAAUUUGCUAUCGACUUUCAUAACUAACCUAACUGCUCAAUUUUUUCUCUUAAAAAGGCUUCUAACGGCUGGAAGGAAUUAAAACAUUGGAUUGUUGCCACGAGGUCCUAUACCAAUUUUAAAUUUAUUAAGGAAGUACGUCCGCAUAAAACGAGAGAUUUCUGCCAUACGUCGCUCCACUGGGUUAGCGCUGGGGCUGUAAAGAGAUGUCCUCGACCAUUUAAUAUUAGCCAGGUGAAGUAUUUCUUUCCACUGCUUGCUACAAAAAUAGGUUGCGUUGUCUGAUAGUACUCGUUUGGGCUUUCCUACUUCACUUGUCCAUCUUUCCGUUAUGCAUCGGGCCAAAACUUCUCCGGUCAAUUUGCCUAUGGGAAAUAGCAUGGUAUAUUUUGAAAAAACACAUGUAAGAACGAAUAUGUAUUUUUUUCCGUAUUGCGCCAUGGGCAAUGGACCAUAUAUAUCCGCUGAUAUCAAUUCCAAUGGUGCGCUGGGGAGAAUGGGAUUCAUUUCACCUCUGAUAUGGUAUCGCGGGUAUUUGGCUUUCUGGCAUAUAUCGCAAGCUUUCACUAUUUUGGCCACUUUUUUAUGCAUGCUUUUAAAAUAACAGCUUUCUUUUAGUAGGUGGAGGGUCUUCGUAGUUCCAAAAUGUCCAAUGCGUUCGUGAGCUUCUUUUAUCAAAUCUGUUUCCAUAUUAGCGGGGAUAAUUAGGCGCCAGUCGUAAGUAUUUUUAGCCGGUCGGUGGAACAUAAAUCCUUUGUAGCGGGUAUACUGUCGCAGGUAGUCGGGCGGUUCGGCAGCUCCUUCUUCCAUCAGUUCACGGAUCCGGGACAGUCUUGGGUCUUCAUAUUGGGCGAUACGGAUUCUUUCAGGUGUUAACAUGGCGGUAUGAAUUCGUGGUUGGAUAUUGGGAGGAUACGGUAUGCUUUCUCCACUUUUUACGGCAAAACAUCUUAGAUUGGUAUCUUGACAAUAUGUAGCGUCUAUUUCUCUGGAUAGAAAGUCGGCGGUCUGAUUUCUCUUUCCUGGCAGAUGGGUCAAUUCGAUGUCGUAUUCUUGAAGCGCAAGAAACCAUCUAGAUAAGCGGUUGUGAUUCAAUUUGGCUGUCUUGAAAAAUGUUAAGGCUUUGUGGUCGGUAUUGAUAAAUAUCUUAUUGCCGAGUAACAAUGUCCGGUACUUAAUACAUACUUCCACAAUACUCAACAACUCUUUUUCGGUCACAGAAUAACGACGCUGGGCUGGAUUAAGUGUCUUACUAAAAAAUGCUAACACUCCUUUCUCUCCUUGCUCAUCUUCUUGGAAAAUCUCUGCGCCUAUCGCAUAAUCUGAUGCAUCGACAUUCAAGAAAAAAGGUUUCUUUAGGUUAGGGUGUUUCAACACGACGGAAUUUAGGAAGGCUUCUUUUAGUUGUUGGAAUAUAAUCUCUUCUUUGUUAGUCCAAAUCCAAGGCUUGGUACUAGACAGUAUAUGACUGAGUUGAGCAGUGUAGUGUGACAUUUGUUUAUUAAAACGGCGGUAGAAUUGUAAAAAUCCAAUAAACUUUUGCAAUUGUUUACGGUUGGUUGGUGAUGGAAAUUGUCUGAUGGCUAAUAAUUUGUCCGGGUCCUGUGAUAUGCCAGUGGGUGUAAUUAUGUGUCCUAGAUAUUUCACCUCUCUCGCAAAAAAUUCACACUUAGAUAAUUUGAGUUUCAAUCCGCAAUUUAUCAAUCUAUCAAAUACUAUAUCUAAAUGCUUGCAAUGUUCACGUAUAUUCUGUGAGGCUAUUAAUCCAUCGUCCACGUAUAAUGUACAGUAGUCACUGAUAUCGUCUCCUAGCGCCUGUCUCAAACAUCGUAUGAAUAUAGCCAUAGCAUUUCUUAAUCCAAACGCUAAACGAGUGAACCUAUAAUUGCGUCCAUUAAACAGGAAAGAUAAAUAAUCGCGCGAUUCCGGUGCUACUUGGACUUGCCAAUAUCCUGCGCUCAGAUCUACCGUUGAAUAUAUGGUCUUGCCAUGGAAGGUUUGCAUAACUUGCUCAAUUUGGUCUGGUCCUUCUCGGUCAUCAUCCAAUAUGCGGUUCAAGGCGCGAGCGUCCAGACAGAGUCUCACGGUUCCAUCCUUUUUGGCUACACACACAAUCGGCAAACUAUAGGGUGCUGUGGAUUCUUCUAUAAUUCCUAGUUGUUCCAUGCGAGAUAUUUCUGCUAUGGCGGCGGAUCGAUAGGUGAAGGGUAUGGGGUAUGAUUUGCGGUAAUACGUGUCGUGUGGUUUAACGUUGAGUGAACAUUUGAAGUGAGUAGCUAGGCCAGGUUGUUCGGAAAAAACGUCUGCAUUUUUGCGGAAUACUUGAAUUAUUUCCUGUCUAGUGUCAGGGUGCCAAUCGGUACGUUGAUGAAUUCUGUUUAUCAGUAUCUCUAACAAUUCUUCGGUACUAGAGUCGGCUCUUGACGGUGCUCGGUCCUUCGUUGUUAGGCUUAAUACCUCCAUACACUCCAUAGCAUUUUCCAUUUCGUGGAUACCCCACUCCCUCGGCACGCCUUCCAUGUAGUGAGCGAAAUGUACCUCAGCGAUUCCUUCAGUACGUUUCUUCAGAUCAAGGGGUACUAUGACUUCGUAUGCUUCGGUUUCGGUAAAUGCAUGAAAUUUCGAGGUUUGGAAAUUUAAACAGGCCUGGAAGUGUUGUAGAAAAUCUGUACCUAUUAUUAUGUGCGGACCGGAAACAGGUAAUACAAGAAAUGUAUAUGCGAAUCGUUGUUGUUGAAGAUUUAUUUCCAGUAAACAUUGAGUAGUUAUAUGUAUUCGCCGUCCUGGACUGAUACCUGAUACAUAUACGUUGGUUAACGGUAGAGUAGCUAAUUUUGUUUUUUCUUUCAGACGUUGGAAUAAGUCUGUUUGUAUGAGGCUACACUGUGAACCACUAUCUACUAAUGCUUGAACCUUCAUUCCAUAUAUUUCUAUAUCGAUAUACGCUUGCAUUUGUAUAUCCGGUAGCCUGCUUUCUUUUUCCGUUUCUUCUAACAAAGUCUCCGGUAGAUCAUUUCUGAAUGUGGUGUAUGAUGUUGAGAUGUCUUGUUUUUCUUGGUUUGUUUCACUUGAGUUUGUGCUUGCUGUAUCGGGGGUAUCAUAUAGUCAUGGUUUAUUAGCUGUAGUUUUCUGUAUGUCUGGUGGCGGGUCGUUGGGUGUUGGGUUCCGGGUUUUUUGUUGAUUCAAACCUAUUGCAUGUGCUAGUGUAUAGUUUGUACUUACUUGUUGAGGUGGUGGUUUAUAAUUUCUGUUGUAACUGUUUUGUGUAUUAUUAUUAUGUGAGUUUAAUCGAUCACGGCCAUCAUAGUGAUUCCUACGAUUGCUCUGCUGGGCAUAGUGGUUGGUUGUACGAUUUUGAAAUUUUUCAUUAUUCCAAUUACCAUUUUGCCUGUGCUCAUAGCGGCGUUCAAAUUGGGGAGCAGAUCGGUAGCGAUCAUAUGAUACCGGUUCAUAAUUUUGGCUGUUAUGCGGAUUAAAUUUUGAAUUAUGCUGAUUUGAUGCGUAUCUCUGGUCUGAGCGGUGGGUUGAUAUUGCCAUUGCAGACUGUAUGCCAUAUAAAUGAUUAAUCAGCUGCUUACAAUCAGUAAUGGGUUGUGUGGCGAGUGCCAUUCUAACUUGAUACGGUAGCUUCUUUAAAAUAAUGCUUGCUAACGCCGAUUCAUUAAUGGGCUCGCUCAGUUGAGAAUUUUUAAACUGUAUGGCAGUGACGAAAGUGGUACAUGCACCGUCUAAGUUAGGGUUGAAAUCGCAUGAUAUGAUGUCCGCUAGCACGUCCAACUGUUUACUUCUGCUCCAAUACUGUUCCAGGAAGACAGCGACAAACUCAUCCAAUGAUGUAAACUCAUGGGCUCUACUCCGAAAAAACAUCAGGGGUUCGCCAAUCAAUAAAUUAGUCAAACGGAGACGCCAAAAAUUCCAAGAGGUAG